rnacentral:rRNA from 1 species
UACAGAGGGUGCGAGCGUUAAUCGGAAUUACUGGGCGUAAAGCGCACGUAGGCGGCUUGGUAUGUCGGGUGUGAAAUCCCCGGGCUCAACCUGGGAACUGCAUCCGAAACUGCCUUGCUCGAGUAUGGGAGAGGGAAGUGGAAUUUCCGGUGUAGCGGUGAAAUGCGUAGAUAUCGGAAGGAACAUCAGUGGCGAAGGCGACUUCCUGGACCAAUACUGACGCUCAGGUGCGAAAGCG